ensembl:lncRNA
AAGGUUACCUUAGUGGAAGAAAGAAAGAACAAAUGGAGAAUUUAGCAAAGGGGCUGCUAGGAGGAGCCUUACACUGAGACAACCCUUCCACCACCAGCAGUCCAUGCUCUGGUUUGGUCCCUAGGGUUACAUGGGAGGUGGAAAUCUUUUCUGGUCCUGCGUGACUCACAUUCACUUUAAAACCUGCUAUAGUUUGCUGAACACAGGGUAGAAAUGUACACAUCUGAUGCUUUCCUUCCUUCACCAGGACUGAUCAUUUUGACACUGUGAGUUGUAAGGCAAAUUUUUUGCAGUGUGAUGUCUUCUAUCACUGUGCAUAGAAUAUAUGUGUUCUAUGAUAACACAAAAUGAGGUUCUGAAGUAGUGUUGGACUGAGACAUCAUGGGCUUUCUAGGCUUUCCUGGGAGCCUGUGAGCAACCUGAAGCCAAUGGCAUGCCCAAAUGGUCAGGGUGUGCUGCUCUUGUUGCCAGAGCUGCAAUGGAAGCAGUCUCUCCCCAUCAUGUUGAUGGACAACUGUCAGACAGUCAGCUGUCUCCUUCAAAUUCAUUUAUGUUAGUAUUCAGCUGUCUAUAAACUCCAAAUAUCUCUCUCUCUCUUAUUCCUUGUGCACAGAUUAGAAAACUAUGCCCUUCCCUGGAUAGCAGAAUGUUCUUAACACAUUCCCCUGACACUGCAGGGUGUGGUGAGACUCAGAAAAGGAGAAAAUCCACUGAAAAACAAGUUAAUAUAGUUGAUUAAGUAGGAGCGGGGAGCAAAAUCUGUCAUCUUAACCUACCUGCCAUCUUAACCUGGAGAAUUUGCUGCUCUCCUCACUUGACUUUCUCUUUUUCUCAUCUAACAUUAGUGCAAUUUAGCAGUCACCUGUGCACCUGGGAAAUCUGCUUGGUGCUAAAGGUUUGCCUGAGCCCUGGUUCUGUGAGGAUAAAUGAGGACGUGUGUUGGGCAAGAGCAGCAGGAGGCAGCCAGAUCUGCACUGAGCUAACCUCAUCCCACCCAGUAUGCAAGAAAUGUAUCUGUGAAGAACUACUCGUACAACUGUGUUCAUCAGCAAAGCUUCAGGAUGGUGACCACCCGAGAAGAUGCUGUUGGUGCCUAGAUCACCAACUGGAGAAAGAUGGAUGGUGCAGGAGGACAGAAAAGAAAUGGAAAAUCAAAAUCCCUAAACACACGAACCUUGAUAGGACAAGGGAGAAUGGUUUUAAACUGAGACAGGGGAGGUUUAGGCUGGAUAUUAGGAGGAAUUUUUCCACACAGAGGGUGGUGACUCACUGAACAGGUUGCCCAAGGAGGCUGUGGAUGCCCCAUACCUGGAGGUAUUCAAGGCCAGGCUGGAUGUGGCUCUGGACAGCCUCAUCUGGUGGUUGGUGACCCUGCACAUAGCAGGGGGGUUGAAAAUCAAUGAUCAUUGUGGUUCUUUUCAACCCAGGCCAUUCUAUGUUUCUAUGAAAUGUUGAAGAGAGAUAAAACCAUCCAAGGAUGUAGGUAUGAAUGAGUUUCUUUUGAGUACUCAUACAGAAAUAAAUAAAUAGAUAUACAUAAGUAGGCUUCCAAGAUUGCCGUUUGAGCCAAUUUUCAUGAGUUUGGAACAUGGAUAUAUGGUGCUACGUAUAUGGUUUAUCUAUGCACAUCCUGAUGACCUAGAAACCAUCAGUCCUUUCAUGUUCAUUUUUUAUGCUGUUGUUUCUACCAGGAUCUAAUCACAAAAUUAUUU